rnacentral:lncRNA from 1 species
CCUGGGUCUCCCGGACAGAUCCUGACACAUGUGUUUGCAAUUAUGUGUUUCCACCCAGCUAUGGAUCAACGGUGGAGGCCUCACAGGAUCCUCAUCCCAAUGUGAACUGACGGACCUGCCUUCGCUCCCGUCGGUGAAGAUGCGCAUCUGCCCAGGCACAAGCAGCUAGACGAGCACCUGCUGGGCACCGGGGUCCGCACAGAGUGGGCCACAGCCGGGCACGAGCACAGCCCAGGGGUCCUACAGCCUGGGGUCCCCCUGGCCCCGCCCCUUGUCUGGCUGUGUGACCUCCCUGGGCCCCACUCACAGCAGGUGCUUCUGGAGAGGCACACGUAGCAGAGGGGACAGCCAGAGCCCCCGCCAUCCCAGAAGGGACAAGACCGUCUCUUUGGAAGGUGACGGAAGGCGGGUUAGACAGCAGCCUGGAGCCUGGGGGACAACCUGGAUCAACCCACAAUGCAGGGCCGUGUGGCAGGCUUCCCAGAGGAGGCUGGGGGUGGGGGGGUGGCCGUGUGGGAGGGAGAGCUGCAGAAGACGAGGAUCUGGCUCCAGAGGGAACCAGAGAGAACACAGGGGAAGCAAGCCCCAGACCUCAGACACGCUCAUCCGCUCAUUCAUUCAUUCAUUCAGCCAACGUUCGUUAGAUGCCUUCGGCGGCUGUGCCCAGAGUGGGGCGCCGGGGAUGGCAGUGAGCUGCACAGACGGCACCAGCGCUGAAUCCAAGAGGCAGGACCCAGGUGGUGACGAGCACAGAUGCUGGAGUGCGGGAUGGGGUCGGGGCCGGUGGGGUCCCAGGAGGGGAGGGCGGUCAGGGAGGGCGCCAGGCGAGGCGGGACUGCCAGGGGCCUCAUCAGGAAAGCCCAGACCCAGCCCCCCACCUCAGGUUUGGACGACUAGCCCCAGACCUGCUCGCCUUUCAUCCUUGCAUCUGAAUUUGAAGGCGUGGGUGAUUUUCCUCCCCGGGUGGAGCUGCGUCUCCAAGAGCUCACGCUGAGCUGGGGAGGGGCAUCACCAAGCAGAAUGCCCCAGACCUCCUCCAGCCUCUAUGUGCCCCCCAGGCCCCACCAGGACCAUCCUGAGCCAUCUGCCC